rnacentral:rRNA from 1 species
AACGGUGUCUUCGGACACAGUGGCGGACGGGUGAGUAACGCGUGAGAAUCUACCUUCAGGUCGGGGAUAACCCCUGGAAACGGGGGCUAAUACCGGAUAGGUCGAAAGAUGAAAGGUUAACUGCCGGAAGAGGAGCUCGCGUCUGAUUAGCUAGUAGGUGUGGUAAGAGCGCACCUAGGCGACGAUCAGUAGCUGGUCUGAGAGGAUGAGCAGCCACACUGGGACUGAGACACGGCCCAGACUCCUACGGGAGGCAGCAGUGGGGAAUUUUCCGCAAUGGGCGAAAGCCUGACGGAGCAAGACCGCGUGGGGGAGGAAGGCCUUUGGGUUGUAAACCCCUUUUGUUAGGGAAGAAAAAAAUGACGGUACCUAACGAAUCAGCCUCGGCUAACUCCGUGCCAGCAGCCGCGGUAAUACGGAGGAGGCAAGCGUUAUCCGGAAUUAUUGGGCGUAAGCGUCCGUAGGUGGCCCGGCAAGUCUGCUGUCAAAGACCACAGCUCAACUGUGGAAAGGCAGUGGAAACUGCAAGGCUAGAGUGCGGUAGGGGUAGAGGGAAUUCCCAGUGUAGCGGUGAAAUGCGUAGAGAUUGGGAAGAACACCGGUGGCGAAAGCGCUCUACUGGGCCGCAACUGACACUGAUGGACGAAAGCUAGGGGAGCGAAUGGGAUUAGAUACCCCAGUAGUCCUAGCUGUAAACGAUGGAAACUAGGUGUAGCACGUAUCGACCCGUGCUGUAUCGGAGCUAACGCGUUAAGUUUCCCGCCUGGGGAGUACGCACGCAAGUGUGAAACUCAAAGGAAUUGACGGGGGCCCGCACAAGCGGUGGAGUAUGUGGUUUAAUUCGAUGCAACGCGAAGAACCUUACCAGGGCUUGACAUGUCCGGAACCUCUGUGAAAGCAGAGGGUGCCUUCGGGAGCCGGAACACAGGUGGUGCAUGGCUGUCGUCAGCUCGUGUCGUGAGAUGUUGGGUUAAGUCCCGCAACGAGCGCAACCCUCGUCCUUAGUUGCCAGCAUUUUGGAUGGGCACUCUAGGGAGACUGCCGGUGACAAACCGGAGGAAGGUGGGGAUGACGUCAAGUCAGCAUGCCCCUUACGUCCUGGGCGACACACGUACUACAAUGCUGUGGACAAAGAGCAGCCAACCCGCGAGGGCGAGCUAAUCUCAUAAACCACGGCUCAGUUCAGAUCGCAGGCUGCAACUCGCCUGCGUGAAGGCGGAAUCGCUAGUAAUCGCCGGUCAGCAUACGGCGGUGAAUCCGUUCCCGGGCCUUGUACACACCGCCCGUCACACCAUGGGAGCUGGCCACGCCCGAAGUCGUUACUCCAACCGUUCGCGGAGGAGGACGCCGAAGGCAGGGCUGGUGACUGGGGUGAAGUCGUAACAAGGUAGCCGUACCGGAAGGUGUGGCUGGAUCACCUCCUUUAUAGGGAGACCCGACCAGAGUCAAGGUGAAAAAACUAAUUAACCUGACUCUCGGACAAUCCCGAGGUCGUUCGGGGUGAAAUGGAAAUUGUUGUUUCAAACUGAGUUCGGUUCGGAGUAAGGGCUAUUAGCUCAGGUGGUUAGAGCGCACCCCUGAUAAGGGUGAGGUCCCUGGUUCAAGUCCAGGAUGGCCCACCUGAACCCCAAAGCCAAAUUCCCCUCCUCAACCCCAACAGUUAAACCUGUGGGCGAGUGAGGCGAGUGCGGAUGGCAUAACUCAAACGGGGGUAUAGCUCAGUUGGUAGAGCGCCUGCUUUGCAAGCAGGAUGUCAGCGGUUCGAGUCCGCUUACCUCCACCAAAACGCCCAAGCCAAGAUUGAGAAAAAUUCAGCACCGGCUGUCAGCAGCAGACUGCUGGAGAAAUUCUCCAGUCAAAGAACCUUGAAAACUGCAUAGUCAUAAGUCAGGCAAGAAGGAGAUUAGUUUUACUAAUCGACUUCACAGACAAAAAAAGUCAAGCAAA